CAAGUCACGGGGGGUAGCAAUACCAACCGGCGAACGGGUGCGUAACACGUGAGCAAUCUGCCGAUGUCUGGGGGAUAGCCGGCCCAACGGCCGGGUAAUACCGCAUACGCUUGCUUUGAGGAGUCUCGAGGCAAGGAAACCUCCGGGGGACAUCGAGGAGCUCGCGGCCUAUCAGCUAGUUGGCGGGGUAAUGGCCCACCAAGGCGAUGACGGGUAGCUGGUCUGAGAGGAUGGCCAGCCACAUUGGGACUGAGAAACGGCCCAGACUCCUACGGGAGGCAGCAGUGGGGAAUCUUGCGCAAUGGCCGAAAGGCUGACGCAGCGACGCCGCGUGUGGGAGGACGCCCUUCGGGGUGUAAACCACUGUUGCCCGGGACGAACAUCCUCUUUCGAGAGGACUGACGGUACCGGGUGAGGAAGCACCGGCUAACUCCGUGCCAGCAGCCGCGGUAAUACGGAGGGUGCGAGCGUUGUCCGGAAUCACUGGGCGUAAAGGGCGCGUAGGCGGCGCGGGUAGUCAUCGGUGAAAGUUCAGGGCUCAACUCUGAAUCGGCCGGUGAUACUCCCGUGCUCGAGCACUGUAGAGGCAGGUGGAAUUCCGGGUGUAGCGGUGGAAUGCGUAGAGAUCCGGAAGAACACCGGUGGCGAAGGCGGCCUGCUGGGCAGUAGCUGACGCUGAUGCGCGACAGCGUGGGGAGCAAACAGGAUUAGAUACCCUGGUAGUCCACGCCGUAAACGAUGGGCACUAGGUGCUUGGGGGAGCGACCCUCUGAGUGCCGGCGCUAACGCAUUAAGUGCCCCGCCUGGGGAGUACGGCCGCAAGGCUGAAACUCAAAGGAAUUGACGGGGGGCCCGCACAAGCGGUGGAGCAUGUGGUUUAAUUCGACGCAACGCGAAGAAACCUUACCUAGGCUUGACAUGCAGA
rnacentral:rRNA from 1 species